rnacentral:rRNA from 1 species
ACGCUGGCGGCAGGCCUAACACAUGCAAGUCGAGCGGUAGAGAGAAGCUUGCUUCUCUUGAGAGCGGCGGACGGGUGAGUAAUGCCUAGGAAUCUGCCUGGUAGUGGGGGAUAACGUCCGGAAACGGACGCUAAUACCGCAUACGUCCUACGGGAGAAAGCAGGGGACCUUCGGGCCUUGCGCUAUCAGAUGAGCCUAGGUCGGAUUAGCUAGUUGGUGGGGUAAUGGCUCACCAAGGCGACGAUCCGUAACUGGUCUGAGAGGAUGAUCAGUCACACUGGAACUGAGACACGGUCCAGACUCCUACGGGAGGCAGCAGUGGGGAAUAUUGGACAAUGGGCGAAAGCCUGAUCCAGCCAUGCCGCGUGUGUGAAGAAGGUCUUCGGAUUGUAAAGCACUUUAAGUUGGGAGGAAGGGCAGUUACCUAAUACGUGAUUGUUUUGACGUUACCGACAGAAUAAGCACCGGCUAACUCUGUGCCAGCAGCCGCGGUAAUACAGAGGGUGCAAGCGUUAAUCGGAAUUACUGGGCGUAAAGCGCGCGUAGGUGGUUCGUUAAGUUGGAUGU